AUGGGGUCCGGAUCUUUCCUCAAGGUGCUCGUCAGCAACCUGGACGUUCUCGCCGGGCCCAUAGUUUCACUCGCUUAUCCUCUGUAUGCGUCUGUUCGAGCAAUAGAAACAAAAUCUCCUAUUGAUGAUCAGCAAUGGCUCACUUACUGGGUGCUGUACUCGUUUAUCACUCUGUUUGAGCUCACUUUUGCUGCAGUAAUUGAAUGGCUCCCUUUCUGGUCUUAUGGAAAGCUGUUUUUCAAUUGCUGGUUGGUCUUGCCCUACUUUAACGGUGCUGCGCAUGUUUAUGAGCAUUUUGUGCGGCCAAUGAUUGUGAACCAGCAGGUUGUAAACAUCUGGUAUCUUCCAAAAAAGGAAGGUUCAGACAAACCUGACGAUGUAAUUUCAGCUGCACAGAAAUACAUUGAACAAAAUGGAUCAAAAGCAUUUGAGACUCUCGUUAACAAGUUUAAGACUACAAACGCGAGGCGCUCAAUUUUGGAGGAGGUAGAGGCGGAAAGGAGAGCCAGGGCUGAACGAGAGCUGGCAGCGAGGGAUGUGAAUCCAUUCUUCCACCCGAAUUACUGA
rnacentral:rRNA from 1 species